rnacentral:rRNA from 1 species
GACGAACGCUGGCGGCGUGCUUAACACAUGCAAGUCGAGCGGUAAGGCCCCUUCGGGGGUACACGAGCGGCGAACGGGUGAGUAACACGUGGGUGACCUGCCCUUAGCUCUGGGAUAAGCCUGGGAAACUGGGUCUAAUACCGGAUAUGACCCCAUGACGCAUGUUGUGGGGUGGAAAGCCUUGUGCGGCUAGGGAUGGGCCCGCGGCCUAUCAGCUUGUUGGUGGGGUGAUGGCCUACCAAGGCGACGACGGGUAGCCGGCCUGAGAGGGCGACCGGCCACACUGGGACUGAGACACGGCCCAGACUCCUACGGGAGGCAGCAGUGGGGAAUCUUGCGCAAUGGCGAAAGCCUGACGCAGCGACGCCGCGUGAGGGAUGACGGCCU